rnacentral:lncRNA from 1 species
GCAGCUCAGUCAAUAUUUAUUGAAUGAACAAGUAAAUAAAUGAAUGGAAGACUGUGAACGUGGAAUCAGAAGGCUUUUGAUCUUUAGGGAAGUCCCAUAACUUCCCUAAAGUGGAAUGGAAGACUUCCCUAAACAAAUGGAAGACUGUGGAUGUAGAACCAGAAGGCUUGUGAUCUUUAGGGAAGCAUUCUUCACAUGAAAAACAGGAACCACAAUUCUCAUGUCAUUUUGGUAAUGAUUAUACAAUGUACCAUUUAUAGAGGCAUCAUGUAAUAAACUGCUAAAUAAAAGGUAUAAUUUUUGAUCAAACUGAAUUCUUCACCAGAGAGGUACUUAAUUUUUAUAAUCUAAGAGCUACCAGAUUGCCAAAAAGGAAGCACAGAAACAUUCAGACACAGAAAACCUUACCAAUGGUUCUGAUAUUCAAAUAAGAUAUAAAACGAUUUAUUCCAAAGCCAUACCCAAAACAUACAAUGAAAUGCAUCCCUGUUAAAGACUUAAUAAAAAGAGCAAUCUUUACACUUUAUAAGGUGAAGAACUUCUGUUCCCACAAAAAGUCUCAUGAAAGUUAAUUCCAUAAAGUGUCAAAUGUAUUUUCCUGUUUAUAUAAAAUGUAUUCUCUUUAAAUGCAAAAUAUUCAAAUACAGCAUUUUAUUUCGAAAUUGUUCUCAAUUUCUGAAAUUCUCACUACUCUACAGCAUCCCAUUUCCACACGCUUCUUAAAAUGAGGUAAGAAGACAAACGGUGAAACCUUUUUUUCAGAGCAUUUUUUCAGAAGUCAAUGCCUUGCUGACGCGAAGUACAACAUGCUUUUGUCAUUCCUUUCAUCUGAAAUAUUUUCCCAGUGGUUACUCAGUAUUUUGCACAAAAAAAAAACUUGCAAUACCUGUCAUUUAAAAAUCUGUAACAUGUAAUUCUUUUUAUACGAUUUUAAGAUCUGAAUCAAAGCUAUUGCUACAGUGAUUCACUAUUUUCUUUACAGGUACUUUAAUAAAUAUUCCUCAAUUCUAGAAGACUAUUCAAAUCCUUUAAAAUGGGGGUCAGCAAACAUCUUCUGUAAAGGUCCAGAUAUUUUGUUUUGUGUGUCAUUUUUCUGAUGCAUAUUUUUUACAACUGUAAAAUGUUUUUAAAAAAUUAUUUAGCUAUUCUGUAAUUUGCUACCCCACUAUUUUAAAAAAUAGAACUAGUCUCUAAAUUAGACUACUCAAGUGUUAAUAAAAUGUAAACUUCACAUUGUACAGUAAAAUAAAUCCACGGUUUCUGACUACUAAAUUGAAAGUUCAUAAGCAGUAAGAAAUGAAUCCCAUUCAAAGAGUAGGGCUACAUUCCAGAUAUUCUUUUUAAUCAACGACACUUUCUUGUGGCUUUUCACUUUGAUUGAAUGUCACACAUCUGUAGUUUGUUUUUUCUUGGUCUUACUUUUUUAUAGAGAAAAAUUAUCCUCAUGAGGCUAAUUUGAAGUUUUUGAAAUUAAAGACUAGAAUACUUUGAUGCUGACAGAGGUAGAUGCACACACACUGGUAUAUGCAGUUACAAAUACUCACAUAAAAUGGAAACCACUAUUUCAUAUACAAAUUAAUCACAAAUGCACUCCAUGGCUAAGGAGGAAUCAGUGGAAACCAGAUAGAAGGUAUGCAAAACAGUCCUACAGAAUAUUCUAAUUUUCUUUUACCACAUAUAGUUGCUACAUUUUAGGAAAACAUGAUUUGAAUAUGAAACAUGUAAAUAUAAAUUAAUAUAGUGGCAUGAUUUAUUCAGGUUCUUGAUGCAUAUAAACUGGAGGUGACUAAACUGAUCUAUAUAACAUGGUCCUAUAGCUUGGUACUGAGAAUCACAACUCUGCGUGUGUGUGUGUGUGUGUGUGUGUGUGUGUGUGUGCGCGUGUGUGUGUGUUGCAUGUUUUCCUUUCCUACUACAAACAGUGUUAUAACCAGAUUAUGGCAAAUAAAAGAAGAGUUGUAAAUUUACCCAAAUAUAUCAUAAACAAGUUGGAACACUCUGGAAUUACAGUCAUAUGAUACUCUACAAAAAUAUUUACAAAUUCUAAAGCUGAAAAAGUUGAAAACUUUGGUAUCCGUAAAAAGAGAAAGUUCAGGGCCAUGCGUGGUGACUCACACCUGUAAUCCCAGCACUUUGGGAGGCCAAGGUGAGAGGAUUUCUUGAACCCAGAGUUCAAGACCAGCCUGGCCAACAUGGUAAAACCCCGUCUCUAUCAAAAACACAAAAAUUAACCGGGCGUGGUGGUACACGCCUCUAAUCCCACCUACUUGGGAGGCUGAGGCACAAGAAUCACUUGAACCCAGAAGGCAGAGGUUGCAGUGAGCUGAGAUCAUGCCACUGCAGUCCAGCCUGGGUGAUAGAGUGAAACUGUGUCUCAAAAAAAAAAAAAAAAAAAAA